GCUGUUGCAGCAAAAAAAAUAAAAAAAAUCCGCAUUGCUGCCGUUCUCAAACGCUGUCAACAUGGCGUUGGCCCUCGCUCGCCUGGCCUGGCUGUCGGCCCUCACAAACGCCCGCUCCUCCCUGCUGACCCCCUCCAGCGGGCCGGGGAGGACCGUGACACCGUGCCGGACAGCUGUGUGCACCUCGUCCGGUGCCAUUCCGCCCAAACCCAAGAAGACCCCCUUCGGCCUAAUCCGGAUCGCUCUGGUCCUGGUGCCCUUCUUGUAUGUCGGGACUCUGAUCAGCAAGAACUUUGCGGCGCUGCUGGAGGAGCACGACAUCUUCGUCCCCGAGGACGAUGACGACGACGACUGAGGGGUCUGUAGGCUUCCUGGUUAUCAGGUAUCGCUGGCAUGGAUUGUAAGCUUCACUGUGAAUUGUGGGACACGCACAAACUCAGGGGACAUUCAGUAACCAAAAGGGGGCUCUUCAUGCAGGUCAUCUUGUUUUGUCACUACCACUGGGACGAGCCUUAUGAGCACAUAAAUGUCUCCAUGGUGUUCCCCCUGCUGUGUGUUUCGCCUCUGCCUGCACUGGAUCCAGGGGUUUCGCUGUUAUCGAUAAUGAGAUAUGGGUGUCUCAGGCCGAUCAUAUCAUAUACUCUUAUUUGCAUGCACUACUGAAGUCUUAAUAAAGAGAAUAAUAACUGUAAA